rnacentral:rRNA from 1 species
UACGUAGGUGGCAAGCGUUGUCCGGAAUUAUUGGGCGUAAAGAGCUCGUAGGCGGUCUGUCGCGUCUGUUGUGAAAACUCGAGGCUCAACCUCGGGCUUGCAGUGGAUACGGGCAGACUAGAGUGCGGUAGGGGAGACUGGAAUUCCUGGUGUAGCGGUGGAAUGCGCAGAUAUCAGGAGGAACACCGAUGGCGAAGGCAGGUCUCUGGGCCGCAACUGACGCUGAGGAGCGAAAGCAUGGGGAGCGAACAGG